ACAGGAGAGACGUUGUGGGUGAGACAGAGGGAACAUCAAAUGAGAAACUGGGAAGAGAUAUGAAGUAGCGGGACCAGUUUUUCUAAAAAGCUCAACUGAUCAAAGAGAAGGAAGGAAGCAAUUUGCUGGACUCCCAGGACACCAACGCAGAGCUACCUUCGAGCCGGCACUGUGUGACUGCAUGGAGACUGUCUGUGCCAGUGGGCCAGACCUAAAGAAGGAACUACCAGAUGAUGCUGAGGAUUCCUGCAUUCAUCGACAGAAGCAGUUUAGUGAGACAAAGGAACCGUAAGGCAGGAUAUGCAGUAACUGCUACUGAGCAGGUAAUCAGAGUACAACCGUUACCUGUAGGGACUUCCACUAAGAGGUCUAAAAUAGC
rnacentral:lncRNA from 1 species